UACGUAGGGGGCAAGCGUUGUCCGGAAUCAUUGGGUGGUAAAGCGCGUGUAGGCGGUUCGGUAAGUCGGCUGUGAAAGUCCAGGGCUCAACCCUGGGAAUGCCGGUCGAUACUGGCCGGACUAGGAGUUCGGAAGAGGCGAGUGGAAUUCCCGGGUGUAGCGGUGAAAUGCGCAGAGUAUCGGGAGGAACGACCAGUGGCGAAGGGCGGUUGGCC
rnacentral:rRNA from 1 species